rnacentral:miRNA from 1 species
UAUUAGGUUGGCUUAAGAGUUUGUUCAAGAUUUUCUGUAAGAUGUUAUGAAAAACCUGAAUGAACUUUUGGGCCAACCCAAUACAU